rnacentral:rRNA from 1 species
CGUGAACGCUGGCGGUAGGCCUAACACAUGCAAGUCGAACGGCAGCACAGUAAGAGCUUGCUCUUACGGGUGGCGAGUGGCGGACGGGUGAGGAAUACAUCGGAAUCUACUUUUUCGUGGGGGAUAACGUAGGGAAACUUACGCUAAUACCGCAUAUGACCUACGGGUGAAAGCAGUGGAUCUUCGGACCUUGCGCGAUUGAAUGAGCCGAUGUCGGAUUAGCUAGUUGGCGGGGUAAAGGCCCACCAAGGCGACGAUCCGUAGCUGGUCUGAGAGGAUGAUCAGCCACACUGGAACUGAGACACGGUCCAGACUCCUACGGGAGGCAGCAGUGGGGAAUAUUGGACAAUGGGCGCAAGCCUGAUCCAGCCAUACCGCGUGGGUGAAGAAGGCCUUCGGGUUGUAAAGCCCUUUUGUUGGGAAAGAAAAGCAGCAGGUUAAUACCCCGCUGUUCUGACGGUACCCAAAGAAUAAGCACCGGCUAACUUCGUG